GCAGGCUAGGUGAAUGACAGGAAGGAGACUUUUGUAGGGUGGUAACUGGACGUUUUCUCUAGGAGUGUCUGGGAAAAACGCAGGCGAUACCAAACGUUUUCUGGGACCCUCCCUGUGUGACGUCAGCUCCGGCCCCGAUCAGCCUGUUUGUAUCGCACUGUAGGAGGAGUAAGUCCUGGGCUACGCACAGACUGGAAAAAUCAUUCGAUGUACACUUACGUUCGGGAGGCAGAAGUCGGGAUUCCAGUGCCGGCAUUUUUAUCCAUGUGGGGAUCCCGCACCAGCAUUCUGACCAAUGUUGGUAUUCCGGCAUCAGCAUUCCAAAUGCCGAUAUCCUGAACGCCGAAAUAGGAGGAAAAGAAAAGAAAGAGGAAAAUAAGAGAAAAGAAAAGAACAGAAAAGAUUAUAGUAAAGUAUACAGCAAAGAAAAAGAGUUGGGAAAGGGAAAGGAAGAGGGGGAAGCUCCCAUCCAACUGGAGAAUUGUCAAAAACAUUGUUAAAACAUCUGGUAUUCAAUAAACAGAAUGUCUACCUGAAGAUACAAGUGUCAAUACAGUUUUUGUUUCAAACAUAUAUUAUAUAUGAAGUUGAAUUCCAACUCUUCGUUAAAUAAUCAGACAUUAGACUUGCGGUAGAGCUCAUACCAAGAUAUAACACAGACAUCCUCUUGUACAGCAGAAUAAUAGAGACCCUUAUGUAUUCAUAUCAUAGAUGGAUUGCUCUGGGAACCUAUAACUGAGUCAAACUCUUUCAUUAUAUCUGUUUGCAACGAGCCAUUAAGAAAAUUGAUAUACUGAAUACUUCCCACUUCUUGUAGAACUUAAACAUUCCUUUGUCCAGAUCUGGAAAUGCUGUCCUUCUAUCAAAAUACAAGGUUUCUAUCAAUUGAUUUUGGACUUCAGGGAGGUAGGGAGCUACCGGUUUAGUCCAGUUUUUUAGAAGAGCCAUUUUUGCUAUCGUUAAAGUAAUUGUUAGAAUUGGAAGGAGACCAUACACACUAUGUUCCCGUAUAAGCGCCAUCCAGAUCUCAAAGUUGCAGAACAGAAUGGGUAUCACAUGUAACGUAAAUUGGAUAUUUGCUAUUUGUUUAAUGAACCCCAAGAUUUUGUUCCAGAAUUUAACCACCUUUCGACACUUCCAAAAACAGUGUUACAAAGAGGCUCCGGGCCUUUUGCACUUAAGGCAUAUACCAGACCUUCAAUUACAAAAUAGCUGCGUUGCAAUCGAGAUAUAAAUGCUCUAUUAAUAAACUUUAUAUGAGUUUCUAAGAGAGUGGAACAAUGUAAAUAUUUUAAUGUCUUAUAGUAAUAUUUAAGUAUGUAGUCUGACUCUUCUACUCCUACUAUACAAGUUGCCCAAGUCGCAGAAGAGCGUGACCAUAACUUUGAUAGGUCUGUCUCUAUUAAAUCUGAAUAGAGAAUGCUAAUUUUAUAAGGUUUAGACUAGAGCUAAUAUAUCUGAGAUGGGUUGGUUUUGAGAUACUAACAGAAAUGUUUGUUCAUAAUGGGGGUCAUUCCGAGUUGUUCGCUCGUUAUAUUUUUAUCGCAACGGAGCGAUUAGUCGCUAAUGCGCAUGCGCAAUGUCCGCAGUGCGACUGCGCCAAGUAAAUUUGCUAUGCAGUUAGGUAUUUUACUCACGGCAUUACGAGGUUUUUUCUUCGUUCUGGUGCUCGUAAUGUGAUUGACAGGAAGUGGGUAUUUCUGGGCGGAAACUGGCCGUUUUAUGGGUGUGUGCGAAAAAACGCUACCGUUUCUGGGAAAAACGCGGGAGUGGCUGGAGAAACGAAGGAGUGUCUGGCCGAACGCUGGGAGUGUUUGUGACGUCAAACCAGGAACGAAACUGACUGAACUGAUCGCAGUUGCCGAGUAAGUGUGGAGCUACUCAGAAACUGCUAAGAAGUGUCUAUUCGCAAUUUUGCUAAUCUUUCGUUCGCAAUUUUGAUAAGCUAAGAUUCACUCCCAGUAGGCGGCGGCUUAGCGUGUGCAAAGCUGCUAAAAGCAGCUUGCGAGCGAACAACUCGGAAUGAGGGCCCAUGUUGGAAUUGCAAACACAUAAAGAAAUCUGACCUUGGGAUCCCAAAUCGGUCUUGAAGUUGCUGAAAGGAGUACAUCACACCUCCUGGGUCAAAGACAUCUUUUAUCUGUGCAAUUCCCAAUUCUUUCCAGUUCAUGAAUUUUUUAUCUUCAAUGCUUUGCAAGAAGUUUAAAUUACUCCAUAUAGGCAUAUAUUUUGUUGUA